rnacentral:rRNA from 1 species
UACGGAGGGAGCUAGCGUUGUUCGGAAUUACUGGGCGUAAAGCGCGCGUAGGCGGCUUUGUAAGUUAGAGGUGAAAGCCCGGGGCUCAACCCCGGAAUUGCCUUUAAGACUGCAUCGCUUGAAUCCGGGAGAGGUGAGUGGAAUUCCGAGUGUAGAGGUGAAAUUCGUAGAUAUUCGGAAGAACACCAGUGGCGAAGGCGGCUCACUGGCCCGGUACUGACGCUGAGGUGCGAAAGCGUGGGGAGCAAACAGG